rnacentral:rRNA from 1 species
UACGUAGGGGGCGAGCGUUGUCCGGAAUUACUGGGCGUAAAGGGCGUGUAGGCGGUUGGAAAAGUCUGGUGUGAAAUGCACGAGCUUAACUUGUGCGCUGCGCUGGAAACUUUCUGACUGGAGUUCGGAAGGGGUGACUGGAAUUCCCGGUGUAACGGUGAAAUGUGUAGAUAUCGGGAGGAACACCUGUGGCGAAGGCGGGUCACUGGUCCGACACUGACGCUGAGACGCGAAAGCGUGGGGAG